rnacentral:rRNA from 1 species
AAGACCUUGCACUUUUGGAGCGGCCGAUGUCUGAUUAGCUAGUUGGUGGGGUAAAGGCCUACCAAAGCUUCGAUCAGUAGCUGGUCUGAGAGGACGGCCAGCCACACUGGGACUGAGACACGGCCCAGACUCCUACGGGAGGCAGCAGUGGGGAAUUUUGGACAAUGGGCGCAAGCCUGAUCCAGCCAUGCCGCGUGAGUGAAGAAGGCCUUCGGGUUGUAAAGCUCUUUCAGCCGGGAAGAAAAGGCUGCGACUAAUAAUCGCAGUUCAUGACGGUACCGGAAGAAGAAGCACCGGCUAACUACGUGCCAGCAGCCGCGGUAAUACGUAGGGUGCGAGCGUUAAUCGGAAUUACUGGGCGUAAAGGGUGCGCAGGCGGUUUUGUAAGUCAGAUGUGAAAUCCCCGGGCUUAACCUGGGGACU